UUCCUAGUAAUAAUCUGAACUUUUACAGCUCAAUCAGAGCAAAUGUCAAUUUGCGGAACACCUGAAUUGUCUCCGAUUCAGCUUUAAAGAGUGUUUUUUUUAGCAGGGAGAGCUGGGGUGGGGGCGCACACUUGGACAUGGAGUGUUAAAGCACAGACCUCUACCUGGAAAAAGUUGGGCAAAAGUGGCCAAGCAGGUGCCUCCUGGAAGCCCACAAACUUGACAUGAGAACAGCAGCCCUGGCCUGGUGAUGUCCCCCCAGUGGCAGAGUACAGAUUCGAAACUUAACAACUUCCCAGGGUAGCCAACAUGCACCGCAUGGAGGCUUGUUCCACGCCAGAGAGUUUAACACCAGAUACAGUACAUUCUCCCACCCUUAUCCCAAGAAGAGGAAACCACCAACAAAAGCUGAGAUAACAGAGGGAAAU